GAAACAGUGGCUAAGACUGGAUAGGAAGAUAAAAGGCAUCUUUUAUCUUUUAAAAGACCUAGUAAUAGGUAUGCUUUAGGAGGGGCUUGCGCCAUAUUAGUUAGUUGGUAGGGUAAUGGCCUACCAAGACGAUGAUGUGUAGCUGGACUGAGAGGUUGAACAGCCACAUUGGGACUGAGACACGGCCCAAACUCCUACGGGAGGCAGCAGUAGGGAAUUUUCGGCAAUGGAGGAAACUCUGACCGAGCAACGCCGCGUGAAUGACGAAGUACUUCGGUAUGUAAAGUUCUUUUAUCAAGGAAGAAAAGCAAAUGGCGAACCAUUUGUUUGCCGGUACUUGAUGAAUAAGCCCCGGCUAAUUAUGUGCCAGCAGCCGCGGUAAGACAUAAGGGGCAAGUGUUAUCCGGAAUUAUUGGGCGUAAAGGGUGCGUAGGCGGUCUAGUAAGUCAGUGGUGUAAUGGCAACGCUUAACGUUGUCCGGCUAUUGAAACUGCUAAACUUGAGUUAGAUAGAGGCGAGUGGAAUUCCAUGUGUAGCGGUAAAAUGCGUAAAUAUAUGGAGGAACACCAGAGGCGUAGGCGGCUCGCUGGGUCUUAACUGACGCUGAGGCACGAAAGCGUGGGGAGCAAACAGGAUUAGAUACCCUGGUAGUCCACGCCGUAAACGAUGAGUACUAAGUGUCGGGUUAAACCGGUACUGAAGUUAACACAUUAAGUACUCCGCCUGAGUAGUACGUACGCAAGUAUGAAACUUAAAGGAAUUGACGGGACUCCGCACAAGCGGUGGAUCAUGUUGUUUAAUUCGAAGAUACCCGAAAAACCUUACCAGGUCUUGACAUGUUUUUGCAAAAUGAUAGUAAUAUCGUGGAGGUUACCAGAAACACAGGUGGUGCAUGGUUGUCGUCAGCUCGUGUCGUGAGAUGUUAGGUUAAGUCCUAAAACGAGCGAAACCCUUAUCGUUAGUUGCCAGCACGUUUAUGGUGGGGGACUUUAACGAGACUGCCAAUGAUAAAUUGGAGGAAAGGUGAGGAUCACGUCAAAUCAGCAUGCCCCUUAUGACCUGGGCUACAAACGUGAUACAAUGGCUGUUACAAAGGGUAGCUGAAACGCAAGUUCUUGGCCAAUCCCCAAAAACAGUCCCAGUCCGGAUUGAAGUCUGCAACUCGACUUCAUGAAGUUGGAAUCGCUAGUAAUCGCGAAUCAGCAUGUCGCGGUGAAUACGUUCUCGGGGUUUGUACACACCGCCCGUCA
rnacentral:rRNA from 1 species